CCUACGGGAGGCAGCAGUGGGGAAUUUUGGACAAUGGGCGCAAGCCUGAUCCAGCCAUGCCGCGUGAGUGAAGAAGGCCUUCGGGUUGUAAAGCUCUUUCGGCAGGAACGAAAUGGUUCGUGCUAAUACCACGGACUGAUGACGGUACCUGAAGAAGAAGCACCGGCUAACUACGUGCCAGCAGCCGCGGUAAUACGUAGGGUGCAGGCGUUAAUCGGAAUUACUGGGCGUAAAGCGUGCGCAGGCGGUUUCUAAGUCAGAUGUGAAAGCCCCGGGCUUAACCUGGGAACUGCGUUUGAAACUGGGAGACUUGAGUGUGGCAGAGGGGGGUGGAAUUCCACGUGUAGCAGUGAAAUGCGUAGAUAUGUGGAGGAACACCGAUGGCGAAGGCAGCCCCCUGGGCUAACACUGACGCUCAUGCACGAAAGCGUGGGGAGCAAACAGGAUUAGAUACCCUGGUAGUCCACGCCCUAAACUAUGUCAACUGGUUGUCGGGAGAUUAACUCUCUUGGUAACCAAGCUAACGCGUGAAGUUGACCGCCUGGGGAGUCGGCGCAGUAAACUAAUGAAUUGNGNGNGAGAGNGCGAGAGACGACGAGGAGAG
rnacentral:rRNA from 1 species